AAGGCACCUAUGAUUUAACAACAAACAAGGGACAGAUGUAUCAGAAAGAAAAUACAUUGGCAAUGCAAGCCAUAUGGACAGGACUUCCAACCAUCGACAACAAAGCAUCAGCUUCCACAUGGUACGCCGGCCUCUCUUAAUGAAGCUGAUGAGUACAAUCAUAUAGAUGUGUCCACAGAUUUUGAUCCAUCAGAACAAACAGAUGUUGUGAUCAAUACUCAGAGCCACAGAAAGCAAGGUGAUCUCCCUGAAUUAUCAGGACCCCAAAUACCUCGACCAAAUAGAAUCGUUGAGUCGUUGCAGAGGAAUGAAAACGGUAUUUCUCGAUCAACUCGCAAAUCAAGACUAGGAAGAGGUAAAUAAUUUGUUUUUUCUAUGGAAGAAACUAAUGUUAAUGCGUUGGAUGGUCAUAUAAUUCUUGGGACCCACCUCUUUUUGUUUGAGAGUAAAUUUGAAGUUAACCCACGAA